rfam:Brachypodium distachyon strain Bd21 chromosome 3, whole genome shotgun sequence.
UUCAUAUUCCCUCCGUCUAACAAAUUAAGGAUGUCUUAACUUUGACUAAAUUUGAAUGCAUCUAUACACUAAGUCACGUCUAGAUACAUUUAAAUUUUGACAAACCUAAGACAUCUUUUGUUGGACGGAGGGAGUAUGAA